rnacentral:rRNA from 1 species
GGUGAGUAAUGCCUAGGAAUCUGCCUGGUAGUGGGGGACAACGUUUCGAAAGGAACGCCAAUACCGCAUACGUCCUACGGGAGAAAGCAGGGACCUUCGGGCCUUGCGCUAUCAGAUGAGCCUAGGUCGGAUUAGCUAGUUGGUGAGGUAAUGGCUCACCAAGGCGACGAUCCGUAACUGGUCUGAGAGGAUGAUCAGUCACACUGGAACUGAGACACGGUCCAG